rnacentral:rRNA from 1 species
AUGGAUCUGCUCCAAGCACCUCAAGCGACGCAUCUUCAAGGUGAUCACUUCAUCCACAUUCAAUCUCAGUUCCCGCGUUUACUCCGAGGAGAGUUUAAAAGCAGCAGGAGCAUUUGUUCUACUGCUGGUCGGAGGGAGAGCUUGGCAAGGGAGAUAGAGGGAGCUCUACAACCACGAUCUUGGCAUACAACCCGAUGGCAUCAUGCCCACCUUGUGUGUUUCAUUGAUGGAGGAGGUAUAAAUCUGUUCCUUAAAGCGAGCAAAUCAAAACAAAAGCGCAGGAGGUAUCCGACAACACUGACGACCGCUACACCAUUCCACUUAGACCUGAAGGCAACAUCAAAGGGUGCCACCAACAGCAGAGGUCGAAUGUUUCACCAGGUACAAAAUUGGACAUCAUGUGAGGUGUUAUGCUCAACCCCAACCAGUUCAAAGGCAACACUGGUGGUGGUCCUCUGA